rnacentral:tRNA from 1 species
CUGCCCGUAGCUCAGCUGGAUAGAGCAUCAGCCUUCUAAGCUGAGGGUCACAGGUUCGAAUCCUGUCGGGCAGG